GAAAUCUAGAAAACUGCCGUUGAAUUUAAAAAUGAAUGUCUAAGAUUUAUUCAUGUCACCAAACAAUAAAAAUUUUACUCGCAAAUUCAAUCAUGAGUAAAAAUGUUGUUGGGAGUAAAAUUUUUACUCUUGAUGAUAUGGACAAAUAUCGGGCCUUCAUUUUUUAAUCCAACAAUAGUUUCUAGGUUUUC
rnacentral:pre_miRNA from 1 species